AUGCAUCUCUUAAGAGCAAUAGGAUUCUUCCACGUAAACAUGCUCUUACUUGGAACCAUAAUAGGGUCGGGGAUUUUUGUGUCUCCUAAAGGAGUGUUAAAAUACUCCUCACUGAACAUCCCUGUUUCUCUCAGUAUCUGGGCAGGCUGUGGCCUGAUGGCCAUUAUGAUUGCUCUCUCUUUGACAGAGCUGGCAACCACGUUUCCUGUGAGUGCAGCAUCUUAUUAUUUUUUGAAGAGAUCUCUUGGACCGUCUGCUGCUUUCCUCAGUUUGUGGAUUAAAGUUUUUUCUCAUUGUCUAGGCCUGGGUACUCAAACCUUACUAAUAGCUAGUUAUCUAAUUCAACCUUUCUAUCCUGGGUGCCCAGCUCCAGAACUCCCGAUUAAAUGCCUGGCUUUGGCUACUUUGUGGUCAUUUGGAUUUCUCAAUGCUAGAAGAAUGAAAGCAGUGGCUUGGCUUCAGAGUAUCAGCACUGUGAUAAAGAUGAGUGUUCUUUGUCUCAUUUCUCUAACUGGGAUUGUGCUGUUAGUGAUUGGCAAAAAGGAGAAUGUGUCCAGGUUUGAGAAUGCUUUGGAUGCUGCACUUCCCAGUGCCUCACAGGUUGUGGAAGCCAUUAUCCAAGAAUGUUUUGCAUACAGAGGAUCAUUAAUCCUGGCCAACAUAGCAGGUACAUCUAUUUAUAUUUUUAAAAUGGCGGUAUGUAUAAACAUAUUUCCAGAUAUUAUGGUGAAAAAUAAAUCUGAUUGUUAUUUUUUUCUAAAAAUAAUUCACAUGUUCCAUUGUGUAAGGUCAUUAUUAAACCAACACUUACAAUUAGUCAAAUAGACUAUAUAGAAUUCAGUAACUUCUUUAAACUUUUAUUUCUAAUAUAAUACCUAGGAAAUAUUUCAAAAUAGACUGUAUUCUCAGAUUUAUUGCAGUAGUUCUUUGAAUGUUGUGGCAUUUUUCAGUUAAGGAGUAAUUUGAUAGUAAAUGAGUUAACACACCUAAUUAAAAUGUGUUACAUAUGUUUGAUUUGAGGGACAUUCUAGCACAAUCCCCUAUACAGAGUUCUGUACACAGAAGUAACCGGUGACAACAAUUUGAUUUAUUUUCAUUAUCAGUGAACUUGUAUGUUGGGAAUUUCAUGUUUUCGUGUAUUCCCAGGAGCAGUAAAAUGUUUCCUCAUUUGUAUUUUACUGUUUUACCUUGGAUUUGAUUUUGUUUAUGUGUAGGUGUAUAAGACAUUCAUUUUACUGCUGCACUGAACAUUUCAAUUCUUCUAGAAUGUUUUUCCAUCAGAAAGAGCAAUGUGGUGACCAGAUCCAUUUGUGCAUGCACUGGACCUUCUCUGGGAUACUGUUGAUCUGCUUUCAUAUCAUAGAACCAAAAAAAAUUUGCUUACACCUUCAGGGUUGGCUCACUAGAGGGUUUUUAGUUUUGUUUGUUUGCUUGGUUUUGUUUGGUAUGGCAGUCAUGUUGUGUGUUCCUAAUCUAAUUUUUCUUUAUUUUUAAUUAAAAUGUAAUUACACCAUUGUCCCUCCUUCCCCAGGGAUGAACCUCCACGCUGGUUAUCCCAUACCAAGUGAGUGUCAGGCCCCAAGACACAUACAUACAAGCAACACCAAAUGGUCUCAACAAGUUGUAUUUAUAUUUGUUACUGACUUCUGUUCUAUACUACAACAUAAAAGCAUGUGUCUUCAUGCUGCUGUUUACUUAAAUAUUUAUUCCCAGUUUUACUGUUUUCUUUCCUAGAACUAUGCAUAUCAUAAUAGCUUGCUGUCCUUCAAGAUAUUGUGGGUUUUUCAUUCUCUCUUUCAUACUAGUCCUUGUGGUUAACCUGACAAUUACUCUAACGUAACUAUUUGGCUCAAUAAUUCAGUUUUUCUUAAAAAUUACUGUUUCUGCAUUCUCAAAUGUACUGAAUUUUAACUUUCACUCAUAUAAUCUUGGCUUUACUUGCUCUUCAUUGUUUUCUUCCAUAGAGACUGUCCUAUUACCAUCUCUCUAAGGCUAUUAAUUAUGUUUACUGACUUUCUUUAUGGACGCUUUGUACUUCAUCUAGAUUAUUGUGGUGCCUGUUGUGAGCUCUCAGAGAUCAAUCAAUUAUCAUUCAUUAAGGGCAUACAACUGCAUGCCUAUAGUGUAGCUGUCUAAUAUUAUUCUACAGAAUCAAGACACAUACUUCAUGGCUGUGAGCUUUUCAGUUUUUCAUUAUUAAAAUGAAAAUAUUUCAAAGAUUAUAUAUUAGUCUGUCUUUCCUGCCAGUGUUCUGAAUAAUGGACUUGGCGUACUGUUCAAUGAAAGCUCUCAUGUGUUGUAGGAAUGCUGCUUUAGGGAAUGGCUGAGUUAGGAACACAGUGGAUCCUUACAAACUGGGAACCUCCUCUGUAACUCCUGCCUGAAAAGAAACCUAGAAACAUACUGACAACCUCAGGCACAAUAUGGAAGCAAGACAAGAUCAAAUGGGUUCUUCCCAAGAACAUAGAACCUCACUGACCAAGACUUGGAAAUGCGUUGUCCUGUCCAUAGUCUAGUAUUUUCAGGACCUGUAUGUCUGUUGUUUUUCUCUCCUUUUGAAACAAAAAGGGGAAACUGAACUGAAAAUAUUCUGAGCUACAGCUUUGAUGUCACUUCAGAUUGUAUCUUCUUAUCAAUAUUUUUAUAUUUCACUAAAGAUCCUCCUUUUUAUUUGUAAGCAAUUCAUAUACUUUUAAUAUUUGACUAUAGAGAAUAUUAAAUAGGAGUUUUAUAUAUUCUAGUGGAAAUAGAGAAAAAAGAUAGUAUGUUAAUUAAUAAAUAAAGUUAAAUUUAAAAAGUAUAUUAUGCAAUGACUACUGUUAUCCAAUAGUGGUAAGAACACAACAAGGCAUAAAAAUCAUGGGUGAAGGGUUGCAUAUAUACAUAUGUGUGUGUGUAUGUAUGCAUAUAUAUAUAUAUAUAUAUAUAUAUAUAUAUACACACAAUGUAUUCACUCUUCUUAUUCUUCUAACAUUUUGUGACGGUUCAUGUCUCUUCAGUUUUCAAGUAGUCAGAAUUUAAUUCAGAAUCCCCCACAGUCCCCAUAGCCCCAACCGAGCACACACUAUAAACUGCUCAUAUAUUUUUCUUUACUUUAUAAUUUUACCCUUCACACAUUCUUUCCUACUAUCAAACCCUCCCAUAUACCCAAUAGCCAUUCUCCUUCGAACUCAUGGCCUCUUUUUUCCACUAAUUCUUAUAACAUGCAUAUUAUGUAUACCCAUAUAUGUUCCUAAAUAUUACCUGUUGAGCCAUAUAUUGUUACAAUGAAUGUAUGUUUUCAUGACUGACCAUUGGCACCAAUUAGAGUGUUCCUCCCUGAGGAAGACCACCUCCCUAGCUCUCCCCAAUCCUCAGUUACCUAUAGUUUUUGUAUAGGGUUAAAGUUUUCUGGGCUUUUUUCCAGUGCAUCUUGGCAUGUCCAUUGCAGUCAUCCUUGUUCAGCUUAAGGUUGAGUGGUCAUGUUAGUGAGACUUUGUAGAUUUAGUAUCUGAUAUGACUUGGAAAAAUCUCACAACAAAUUUUCUUUUCCUCUGGCUCUUACAGUCUGCCUUCUCUUCUGCAAAGUUCCUAGAGUCUUCGGUGUGCAAAUGUUUUAUGAUUGUAUCCAUUGCGACUGAGUUUCACAACGCUGAAUUUUGAUUGGCUGUGGUUUUCUGUCAAGAGAAGUUUUCUUGAUAACCAGUGAAGGAUAUUUAAAUUUAAACCUUACAGAUAUUUUUCAUUCACUUCCAGAUGUUUAUUUUUGAAGAAAUAAAAUGUCAAAUUCAUAUAAAUUCUUCUGUAAUAUAUACACAAUAUAUUAUAUUACAUAUAAUAUAAUAUAUUAUAACGUACAUAUUAUAAAAUAUCCCUUGUGAUAAAUUACACUCUUCUCUUCAAUAUUUGACAUACUUUACAUAAGCUCUUCAAUUGUACCUUUCUUUUAGGAAAAAAUACAUAGCUACAUGUAUUUUAUUAAAUUUUGCUUUUUCUUUUUUCUCUUGAUACUAUUAAGAUAUUGGCAACCCAAUAACAUAAUAAUGAAUAUUUUUCAUAAUGGUUUGUAUCUCUGUCACAUCACACAGCAUGACUUAAUUGUAGCUCUAUCCAUUUACCUAAAAAUCUCAGAGUUUCAUUUUUUUAACAGCUAUGUAACUUUCCAUUGUUUCAGUAUACCACAAUUUCAUUAUCCAUUCAUCAUUUGAUGGAUAUCUAGGAUAUUUUCAAUUUCUGGCUAUUAUGAAUAGAGCCGUAAUAAAUAUGAUUGAGCAUGGGUCUCUUUAGGAGGACGUAGACUCUUUGGUAAUAUGCCUAAGAGUAGUAUAUGUGGAUCUUGAGGUAGCUCUAUUCCCAAUUCCCUAAGGAACAACCAUACUGAUUUCUAUAGUGGCUGUAAAAGUUUGCAUUGCCACCAGCAGUGGAUCAGUGUUAUCUUUGCCCUAUAUCCUCACAAGAAUAAGUUGUUAUUUGUUUUAUUGUUCUUGACCAUUCUAACUGGUAGGAUAUAGAGACUCAAAGUAGUUUAGAUUUGCAUUUACCUAAUUAAUAAUUUUGAAAAUCUUAAAUAUAUUUCUCAGCUAUUUAUGUUUUGUCUUUUAUGACUGCUUGUUUCUGUACCCCAUUUUAGUGGGUUUAUUUGUUUUCUUUUUACCCAGUUUUUUAGUUGUUUAUAUGUUUUAGAUAUGUCUGAUAUAUACUCUUUAUUUGAUAUGUCAUUAAUAAAAUCCUGUUAUGUCACCUGUCACUUUUACCCAAAAUCAUGGCCCUUGCUAUACAGAAGCUCUACAGUUUCACAAAGCUCCAUGUAUUAAUUGUACUUGUGUGAUAUUGGUGUCCUUUUCACAAAAUCUUUCUCUGUGCCAAUAAGUUCUCCAUGAUAACCUACAUUCUUUUCUAUUAGAUUCAAAAUACAUUGUGUCCUAUGUUGAGGUCCUUCGUCCAUAUUGAGUUGUGUUUAAUCCAGGGUGAAAAAUAUGAAACUAUUUGCAUUCUUUUACAUGAAGCCAUCCAAUUUGAUCAGAAUAAUUUGUUGAUGAUAGUGUCUUUUUCCCAUGUUUAUUUCUGGUGGGUUUUUUGGGGACAAGGGCUCUUUUGGUUUUUUUCUCUCAAAAGUCAGGAAUCCAAAAGUGUCUGGAUAUAUAUGUAUAUAUAUAUAUAUAUAUAUAUAUAUAUAUAUAUAUAUAUAUAUAUAUACAUAUAUAUAUUCAAUUCAUUUUAUUCUAACACUGUGAUAAUUUUAUUACUAUAGCCCUGUACUACUUCUUGAAAUUGUGAAUGGUAAUACCUCCUGUAUUUUAUUAUUCAGAAUUGUUUUAGCUAUCCGGUCUUUAGUUUGCUUAUUUGUUUGUGUUUUGAUUUGUGUGUUUAUGUGUGUGUGUGUUUCCACAUGGUAUUGAUUAAUUUAAUUUCAAGAUCUUUCAACAAUUGUGUUGGAAUUGUAAUAAGGAUUGAAUUGAAUCUGUUGAUUGUGUUUGGUAGGAUAGUCAUUUUGACUGUUUUCGUCUUAGGGAUUCAUGAAUGUGGGAGAUAUUACAUAUUCUGGUAUCUCUUUUAACUUCUUUCUUCAAUGUUUUAAGGUUCCUAUAACAGAAGAUUUUACAUGCUUCGUUAGAUUUAUCCAUGAUAUUUUCCUUUUCAAGGUUCUGUGAAAGAUAUUGCUUUCCUAAUUUUUUUCUCACACUAUCAUCUAUAUAUAGGAAGGCUAGUAAUUUUUCUGUGCUAAUUUUGUGUGUUUCUCCUGCUGCUUUAUUGAAAGUGUUUUUCAACUGUUGAGGUCUACUGGUGGAGUUUUUAAGCUCUUUUAUUUAUAAAAUCAUAUAACCUGCAAAUGAGUAUUUUGGCUUCUUACCUCCCUAUUCUUAUCUCCUUGAUCUUCUUUAGCUGUUUUAUUGUUUUAGCUAAGACUCAAGUACCAGGUUGAAUGGGUGUGGACAGAGUGGAUGCAAUGGUCUUGUUCUUGAUUUUAGUGGAAAUACUUUGAGUUUCUCUUCAUUUAGGUUGAUGAUAGCUAUGGCUGCAUUAUAAAUAGUUUUUCUCACAUGAAUGUUCCUAAAUUCCUGGUUUCUCUAGGAGUCUUAUCAUGAAAAGAUGUUAGAUUUUGUCAGAGGUCUUUUCUAUAUCCAAUAAGAUGAUUAUGUGGAUUUGUCUUUCAGUCUAUUUGUAUGCUGGGCUUCCUUUAUCAAUUUAUAUAUGCUGAACCACCCCUGCACCACUGGGAGGAAGCCAAGUUAAUUAUGAUGAGUAUUAUUUAGGAAAUGUUCUUGCAUUUUUAUAAUACUUUUUUGAGAAUUUUUUAUCUAUAUUCAUAAGGGAUAAUGGGAUUUUUUUCUUCCAUUUUGGUCUUUGUUUGUUGUGGGUGUUUGAGUUAUUGUGGACUUGUAAAAAGAACUAGGAAAUGUUCCUUUAUUUCUCUUCUGUGGAAUAAUUGAGGAGUAUUUGUAUUAAUUCUUCUCUGAAGAUCCGGUAAAUUUCUUCAUUGGAUUCAUUUGGCCAUGCACUUUCCUUUGUCUGAACAUUUCAGUUAAUGCUUCUAUUUCACCAGGGCUUAUAGGUCGGUUUGAAUUGCUUAUUUCAUCUUGAUUUAUCUAGGAUAGGUGUUACAUAUCAAUAAAUUCAUCUAUUUCUUUAGGUUUUCCAGUAUGGUGGAAUACAAAUUUUUGUGUUUUUUUUUUUUUUGUUUGUUUGUUUGUUUUUCUAGACAGGGUUUCUCUGUAUAGCCCUGGCUGUCCUGGAACUCACAUUGUAGACCAGGCUGGCCUCGAACUCAGAAAUCCGCCUGCCUCUGCCUCCCAAGUGCUGGGAAUAAAAGUGUGCGCCACCACCGCCCAGCUGGAGUACAACUUUUUAAAGUAUGUCUUUGUGAUUUCCUCAGUGUCUGUAAUGAGGUUUUGUUUUUGUAUCUAAUUUUAUUAAUUUUAAUCUUCUCUGUCUUUUAAUUAAUUUGACCAAGGGUUUAACAAUCAUGUUAAUUUUCUCAAUGAACCAACUCUAUGCUACUUUAUUUGUUUGUUUGUUUGUUUAUUGUGUUUCCUUGUUUGUUUGUUUGUUUCUGUUUUAUUGAUUUCAGCCCUGAGUUUGCUCAUUUUCUUCAUCUACAUUUUGAGUGUGGUUUACAGUCUUAUCCUAAAGAAUUUAGUGAUGCUACUAAGUUAGUAACAUGAGCGCUUUCUCUCCCUUUUUAAAUAUAGCAUAUCCUGAUAAAAUUUCCUUCACUGUGUAUUAUUUAUAUAUGUUGUGUUUUCAUUUUCAUUCAAUUUAAAAAACAACUUACUCUCCUCGUUGAUUUCCAUUUUGACCAAUUUAUUUUUUUCAAUUCAGUAGUAAAUUGUUUCAUUUCCACAUGUGUGUAAGCUCUCUAUUGUAUUGUUGUUGAUGUUCAGACUUAAUCUAUGGUGGAAAAUCUAUAUACUUUGGUAUUUAACAUAGGAUCACAAAAUAUUCCAGCACUUAAGAAUAAAAUUGUGUAGCACAAAAGCAGUAUCAUUACAAUCAGUUGAAAAAAUGGGAUAAUUAAAAAAUGUUUUUCAUUCCUUUCAUAACAAGAAUUCCAAGCUUUACAAUAUGUUGUUUUUCUAACAAACUUUUGUUUGUUUUGCAGGUGAUAUAAAAAUCCUACUAAAGUAAUUCCCAAAUCCGUGAUUUCUUGUCUUUCCAUCAUAAUUGUAUUUUAUGUACUGGUUAAUGUAUCCUAUCUGGUAGUUUUGACACCAAAGGAAAUUACGACUUCAGGUAUGGUUUGGUAUAAAGAAAACUGAAAUAAUUACUUUCUUCCCCAAAUGAAGUUGCGUUGUCCUGUGCAUGGAUGCUCUAGGCUCUAAAAUAGCACUUCUAGAACAUACUUCAUGUCCUCUGCUUAUCCCAUUAUGCCACCUAUACAUUAUCAGCCUCAUGUACAAACCUGUGACUGUGUGCAUUGCUAUGUCUUCUAAGAGCUAAGUUCCUUGUAUUUAAAUGCCUUAUGGGACCAUGUUCAACACUAUCUCAUCUUACAGUGUUUUAAAUGCAGUUAAAAAAUCUAAAGAUGCAAUGGAAGGACUUGACUCAAAUUCUGAAAGAAAUGAUCCUCUGAAUAAUAAACUGUGAGUUAUAGGUCAGAUGACCAACCGAAACAAAGCUCAAUACAUUAGUUUUUGAAGUAAACACAAGAAAAUGCUACGUUUGAAAGCAUUAUGAUAAAAAGAUAAAGGAAUAAAACUAGAAUUUCAUUGAAUAGGUAUACAAAAACAUUACUUAGGCAUAAAUAUAUAUCUAUGCUGCUUAAUUUUAACUAGACUUUAACUGCCAUGUACAUGAUUUGAAAUAAUUUUGACUCUAUUGUACAUUUUACAACCUAAUUACUGAUAUUCCUAAUGUCAAACAUUUAGAUUAAUGAAUACUGUAAUAUUUAAGCCCAUUGAUAUUGCUAAGCCUGAUGACUUGAGUUCAAUACCUAGGACCCACAUUGUAGAAGAGCCCUGAUUAUCUUAUGACCUCCACACCCACACUUUGGUACAUACAUGCAUCCCACCUAGUACACACCUAAAACACUCAAAGUAAAUAAAGAAAUAUUUAAAAAUCAUAAUCAUGGUAUCUAUUGAAGAGUCUUUUCAUUUUUAAUUUAUUUGACAGGAGUUUUCAAACCUGUCUCACACGUAUAUUUGAUUCUAUAACUCCUUCAGAUAUUUUCUAGCACAAGUCAACUGUGUUUAUAGUUCACAUGCCUGCAGUUUAGGAUAAGUCCAGAUAAGAACUUCUGUUAACGAUCAGGUUAUUCACAUUUGUAGAUUCCUUCAAAGAAAACAUCUGGAGAUGCACAUGGAUUUUGGUUCUAACUUGGAAGUUAGUUUUUACUUUUGAAAAAGAAAUUCCAAAAUGAUAUUCUAAGUAUAAUGUUUGAUUUAGUGCCAGUAUUUAUGUUGGAGAUAUGAAGUGAGAAUGGACUCAUGGACAACUGUGCAACUAUGCAAAGGAGAAUGAAGGGAAGGGCGAGUUGUAUUAUUCUAAUAAAUGGCACAAAUGAUUUUAAACGGCAGUAGUUGAAUGCUGCGCUUUGGCUAUGAAAUGUCCCUCCUAGGCAUGUGAGGUUGAAUGCUUGGUCUUCAGCUUGGAAAUACUGUGGGAAAACUAGAAGUGAAACCUUAUUGGAGAAAGUAGGUCACAAGAAAUGAUCCCUGAAGAUUUUAAAUAUGUCCACAUGUCCUGUGCAUUCUCUAUUUCCUGACUGAAGACUCAAUAUGACCGACUGCUGUAUGUUUCUGUAGUAAUACUGUCCCCAAAAUGAUAGACAUCAUUCUUUCCAAAUUUAAGCCAUGUUGAGCCCAUCUGUAAACAGUGACUUCUUGCUAGGCAAUGAAAAGAAAAAAAAUUGAAUCCUAUAACAGUUAUUCUUUGCAGAUUGUGCAUAAAUUGAAAUGGUUUCAGAGCUAGCAUGGCUUGCCUUGUCUCUCCUCUAGCAAAUUAACUGGUAUUGUCAUACAUCUGAUAUGCAGUAUAUCCAUUUGCAGAGCAAGAAAAAACCUACAGGUUAUCAUGGAGUUGGCACAACAGGGAAAAAUAUAAAUUUCUAAUUUAUCUCUAAAUAAAAAUACUAUAAUGCCAAAUUUCAUUCACACAGUAAGUGAAUACCUCUUUUGUGAGGAGGUAUAGAGUCACAUUGCUCACAGAAGAAGAAAUACAUGAGUGUUGCCAUAUUAUUAACAAGCAAAAUGGCUUUUGUUCUUUACUUUAUGUUUAAUUUUUUGCAGAUUCUGUUGCUAUCACAUGGGUAAACAGAGCAUAUCCUUCCAUGAAAUGGGUUAUUUCUUUGGGGAUCUCCUUCUCAUCGUUGUCAAGCACUGCCUGUAUAAUACUUUCAGCAUCAAGGAUUUUCUACUCUGCAAGCCAAGAAGGACAGAUGCCGCUCAUCUUCUCAAUGCUUAAUGACCAUCACAGUCCUAUUGUAGCUGUCACUCAAGUUGUCAUUUUAUCUACAAUUUCAAUAAUAAGUUCAAACUUAACCAGUUUGAUAAAAUAUAUAGGACUAAUAAACAUUUUCAAUGAAGUACUAUGUAUGAUAGCUUUACUUAAACUGAGGUAUCAGAAGCCAGCUCUUCCUAGGCCUUAUAAGGUAAAUCAAAAUGCUAACAUUAUGUUUUUACCUACCUUACUUGAAUAAUAUUGAAUUAGUAGAAAUGUUAUUUUAUACGUGUAUAUCCUUCUAACCAAUUACAAGCUUAGUCUAUAACAAAUUUGAUCUCAGGCUCUUUCUCUGAAAUUUGUAUUAUGGGUCAUUUUGGGGGUUUUGUUUUUAAUAUAUAAAAGCUUAAAACUUAUCUGUAACAAGAAUACAAAUAUCAUUAUCAUGAUUUGUAAAUACAGAUAUAAUUAUUAUCAUGAUUUGUUUUUACUUGGUAAAUUAAAUAUUGACAUUGUACAAACAGGGGGGACUCUGAUUAUCAUCACACAUAAAUUAUAUAGGAUUACUCUUUUUCAUGUUCUCCACAAAAUAUCAAAUUUCUAUGAGAGGUUAAUAAAAGCAUCAACUUGGGUGAUUAUAAGAACAUUUCAAAUUUGAACUAUCAAGAUAUAAUCAUUACUGUAGGUUAGUGAAACAGCUUUUAAUGCAUUUCUUGCUGGCACUAAGGGAUAGAUCCAAUGAUACAAACAUUCUAAGAAAGUCUUUUACCACUGUAUUGUAAGUUCUCUUUCCACUAGGAAGAGGUAUCAUGAAGCCCAGGCACAGACCUUUGUGAGAAGAGCAUAAGCAACAUUUAACACUAACAUAUAUGUGAGAUGAAAUAUAUAAGCAAUCAAAUGCAGGAGAAAUAAAAUAAGUUAUUUUAAAAAGAAGAUACUGAAAACUGGAUGUAAUGUGAGUGAGAAGAAAGCAUGUGUGGAUACAGAUCCACUAGCUGCCAUAAAUUCUUUUAAACAAAUUUGUCUAUAUUCAAGACAAUGGUAGGUCUCAAGUGCAUCACCCAAUCUCAAAAAAAGAGCCAGUUUUUGUUUGCUUGUUUGCUGGAUUUGUUUAUUUGUUUGGUGUCAUGCAUAUUUAUUUGCUGUUGUGAUAAAUAAUUUUUUCAUCAUGAAUCAAUUAUAGGCUUAUAUUUUUAAUUUAACAAUGUUUUACUAGAUAUUGUCUUCAUUUGCAAUUCAAAUGCUAUCCCGAAAGUCUCCUAUACCCUCCCCCCACACACACUACUCCUCAACCCACCCACUCCUGCUUCCUGGCCCUGGCAUUCCCCUGUAUUGGGGCAUAUAAAGUUUGCAAGACCAAGGGCCUCUCCUCCCAAUGAUGGCCAACUAGGCCAUCUUCUGCUACAUAUGCAGCUAGAAACAUGAGAUCUGGGGGUACUGGUUAGUUCAUAUUGUUGUUCCAUUUAUAGAGUUGCAGACACCUUCAGCUCCUUGGGUAUUUUCUCUAGCUCCUCCAUCGUGGGCCCUGUGUUCCAUCCAAUAGAUGACUGUGAGCAUCCACUUCUAUAUUUGCCAGACACUGGCAUAGCCUCACAAGAGACAGCUAUAUCAGGGUCCUUUCGGCAAAAUCUUGCUGGCAUAUGCAAUAGUGUCUGGAUUUGGUGGCUGAUUAUGGGAUGUAUCCCUGGGUGGGACAGUCUCUGGAUGGUCCUUACUUCCGUCUCAGCUCCGAACUUUAUCUCUGUAACUCCUUCCAUGGGUAUUUUGUUUCCUAUUCUAAUGAGGAACGAUGUAUCCACACUUUGACCUUCUUCUUGAGUUUCAUGUGUUUUGCAAAUAAUAAUAAAUGAAAAACAAAUAAUUUUUUUCAUAAUGAAUUAAAUAUAGGCUUAUUUUUUUUAAUUUAACAAUGUUCUAUUAGAUAUUGUCUUCAUUUGCAUUUCAAGUGCUAUCACAAAAGUCCCCUACACCCUUCCCCCCCACACACACUAGUGUAUCUUUGUUUAAUGCUGUACACCAGUUUUAAUGGGGUUAUUUGAAUUUCUGGAGUCCAGCUUCUUUAGUUCUUUGUAUAUAUUGGAUAUUAGUCCCCUAUCAGAUUUAGGAUUGGUAAAAAUCCUUUCCCAAUCUGUUGGUAGUCUUUUUGUCUUACCGAAUGUAUCUUUUGCCUUACAGAAGCUUUGCAAUUUUAUGAAGUCCCAUUUGUUGAUUCUUGAUCUUACAGCACAAGUCAUUGCUGUUGUGUUCAGGAAUUUUUCCCCUGUGCCCAUAUCUUUGAGAGUUUUCCCCACUUUCUCCUCUAUAAAAUUCAGUGUCUCUGGAUAUAUGUGGCGGUCUUUGAUCCACUUAGACUUGAGCUUUGUACAAGGAGAUAGGAUUGGAUCAAUUUGCAUUCUUCUACAUGAUAACCACCAGUUGUGCCAGCACCGUUUGUUGAAAAUGCUGUCUUUUUUCCACUGGAUGGUUUUAGCUCCCUUGUCAAAGAUCAAGUGACCAUAGGUGUGUGGGUUCAUUUCUGGGUCUUCAAUUCUAUUCCAUUGGUCUACCUGUCUGUCACUAUACCAGUACCAUGCAGUUUUUAUCACAAUUGCUCUGUAGUAAAGCUUUAGGUCAGGCAUGGUGAUUCCACCAGAGGUUCUUUUAUCCUUGAGAAGAGUUUUUGCUAUCCUAGGUUUUUUGUUAUUCCAGAUGAAUCUGCAGAUUGCUCUUUCUAAUUCAUUGAAGAAUUGAGUUGGAAUUUUGAUGGGGAUUGCAUUGAUUCUGUAGAUUGCUUUUGGCAAGAUAGUCAUUUUUACUAUAUUAAUCCUGCCAAUCCAUGAGUAUGGGAGAUCUUUCCAUCUUCUGAGAUCUUCUUUGAUUUCGUUCUUCAGAGACUUGAAGUUCUUAUCAUACAGAUCUUUCACUUCCUUAGUUAGAGUCACGCCAAGGUAUUUUAUAUUAUUGGUGACUAUUGAGAAAGGUGUUGUUUCCCUAAUUUCUUUCUCAGCAUUUUUACUCUUUGGGUAAAGAAAGGCCAUUGAUUUUUUUUUUUUUUAGUUAAUUUUAUAUCCAGCUACUGCACUGAAGCUGUUUAUCAGGUUUAGCAGUUCUCUGUUGGAAUUUUUAAGAUCAUUUAUAUAUACUAGCAUAUCAUCUGCAAAUAGUGGUAUUUUGAAUUCCUUCUUUCCAAUUUGUAUCCCCUUGAUCUCCUUUUGUUGUCGAAUUGCUCUGGCUAGGACUUCAAGUAUUAUAUUUAAUAGGGAAGGAGAAAGUGGGCAUAUAGGCUUAUUUUAUUUUCUGAUCUCAACAUCAAAAAUAUGUGUGACUCUCCAGAACAAAUUCUUUCCUUGUUCCUUGUGAUUGUUGCUUUCACAUCAACAAAAUACUUCUGAACUAAUUUUAUUCUUUUAUAUAUUUUCCUUAAUCUUCCUCAUUUCCUUUUUAUUUAUUCAGUUGCUGUGUUCACUUAUUUUAUCCAUGUGUAAUGAAAGCCAAAUAUUCUAUGACGUCCCAUAGUCUUUGCUUUAUGCAUUAACCAUGAAAUGAAUGUGGUAAAAAUGACCCAUUUUUAGAUACUGCAUUAUGUGAAAAUGUUGUGAUCAGUAAACUAGAAUCCCAGGCCUCUUGGCAACCAUUAUUAUAUGCACUAAGUACUCUUACUGGAAUUUGAGUGGUGGAUUUAUUAAGUAGUCAAAGAUUUGAAACUGGGACAGUAAAAAUAAGUUUCCAUGAAAGGAACUUACUUUAUCUAAACAAAAGACAGUAGGCAAAACAUUAGAAUCAUUUAAUUAAUAUUUCAGGUAUGAAUAAUAAAGAUAACAACACACUUAUUUAUGAAUCCAGGGUUUUUUAAUUCAUAAGGUUUUUUUAUAAUGAUACUCUGAUUUAAAAUUGUAUUAUGAAUGAAUACUCGGUUAUGACAUAGCUGAGUGUCUUUAUUCCUCAAGUCAGAAAAGUCAGCAACUAUUGAGCUGAUGUUUAUUAGUUCAGUAUUGGCUAAUGUAAAUGAUGUAUUUCUGUAUGUGCUUCACUCUUCUUCAUGCAAACGCAUUGAUUUCAAUGAGUAAGUUGGAAACCCUGUAAAUAGUGGAAGAAUCCAUCGAAACUUAGCAAAAAUAGCUGGAUUUAAUUCUGUGGUUUCACAACUUGCCAGUUGCAAAGUAAAUAUCAGUACUACAAGGUAGUACUGAGACUGUAUCCAUCCUUGCCCUUUGCUUCUUGAAUAUUUGUAAUGUUGUAUGGCUGUUAAAAACAGAAAACAAAAUCACCACUAAUCUUAAGUUUCUUUUUACUUUCAGGUAUGCCUGCCAUUUAUAUUUGGAACUUUAGCUCUGUCUUCAUUUCUCAUUUUGACACCAUUGAUUCAGUCUCCUAAAAUCGAAAAUAUCUAUCAAGUUAUCUUUCUCUUCAGUGGAUUGCUGGUGUACUGGCUUCAAGCUUACCUUUAUCAACAUUCUGAUAAUUUUAAAACAAUAACAUGUUACUUGCAAUUGCUAUUUAAUGUUUCACCAUCUGACAAACAA
rnacentral:lncRNA from 1 species